ACGAACGCUGGCGGCAGGCCUAACACAUGCAAGUCGAGCGCCCAGCAAUGGGAGCGGCGCACGGGUGAGUAACACGUGGGAACGUGCCCUUUGGUUCGGAAUAACGCAGGGAAACUUGUGCUAAUACCGGAUAAGCCCUACGGGGGAAAGAUUUAUCGCCAUUGGAGCGGCCCGCGUCUGAUUAGCUAGUUGGUGAGGUAACGGCCCACCAAGGCAACGAUCAGUAGCUGGUUUGAGAGAACGACCAGCCACACUGGGACUGAGACACGGCCCAGACUCCUACGGGAGGCAGCAGUGGGGAAUCUUGGACAAUGGGGGAAACCCUGAUCCAGCCAUGCCGCGUGAGUGAUGAAGGCCCUAGGGUUGUAAAACUCUUUCGGCGGGGACGAUAAUGACGGUACCCGCAGAAGAAGCUCCGGCUAACUUCGUGCCAG
rnacentral:rRNA from 1 species